CCGGAUGCCGAGAGUUUGGGAGCGCUGGUCCCGGGAGGAGAGCCGCCUGGCCCCCUCCCCUCAAGCCCCCUACUCUGCCCCCUCAGCUGUCCGCAGACUCCGUCUAGCGUGAGGGCAUCUGAGGGGGACCAACAGCCAAGCGCGCCACAGCAUCAAGAACCUGGGACCCUAAGGGGCGAGGGUCCCAUGGAAACGAGAGAGGCUCUUCGCGUCUGCGCGGACGCGCUAGGCACGGUGGGAAAUGUAGUUUCCGGGCUGCUCCCGGCAGUCAAAGGAACGGACGCAAGAUGGCGCCCGAGCGUCGCCGUGUGUUCCGCGCCGUAGGGUCGGUCCCACAGCCCCCCACCCGGAGCCCCAGCGCUGCCGGCGUAGGAGAGGCCGCGGAGGCCCGAAAGUAAAGUGGAGCAAGGAACCUGGAUGCAGAAGGGGAGGGCCCACCGAGGGUCCUUCUUCCCUGGCAGGGAUGGACUGGCGUGGAAGAUCAGGCCCUCUUGCACUGCAGCAAGAGGAAGAGUCUUGAGACGCACAGAGAGCAGUCAUCAAGUGUCCAGAAGGAGCCUGGGCUUCUGGAACAGGCUUGGUCCUGUCCAGAGAGGCGUUGGCAGCUCCCACUUCCUCAUGGGGCCUGCCUCAGGACACCCGGUGGCUGCGCCGAGGAGACCGGAAGGGCCAAGAGAGGCCAGACUCGGUGUGUAACCAGAGAAGGAUCAGACUCACAGGCACACAGCUUUACCAUAAAGGGGGCCAUGAGCAUGCGCGAGGGCUCAAGCCUCACCCUCCUCCCCGCUGCCAUCCAUGCUGGCCUGCCUCACCACCUUCCGGAGCCUGCGAGUGGAGGAACAGCCCGCCUCCUCCUGCUCCUGCAAGGCCCGGGUCCGGCUGGCCACCAGGGCGGCGCUGCUGAGGGCAGCCACGGACUGGUGGGACUUCAAGGCAGGCCAAGGCCCCUUGCGAGCCGGCCCUCCUCCCUUGGCCUUGGAGGGCUGAGGGAAGGGCUCUGGGGGGUCUUCUUCUGAAGACUCAUUUGAAGAAAACACCUGGAAGGGGCCGAGUGGAAGAAGAAUCACUAGGUCUUCCCAGGGUAGUGGUCUUAAGCACAAAGCCUGGAAAGGGGGGAAUGUUAAGUGAAUGCAGAAAACCUGAGCAACUCAUGGCCAUAUUUCCAGAGGAGGGAAGACAGCACCCCAGCCCCAUUGCCCGGCUCCUUGGCCCCCACCGGUCUUCGUUCCGGCCCCAGAAGCCCUCCUGUGCUCCCGGCCCCUCCUCCUCCUCUUGCCCCCGCUGCCUUUGAACAGUCAGUCCCGAGACCUCGGGUGAAACACCUUCCAGAUGCCGGGCUCUGACUGGGUGCCGAGUGAAGGCGCUGCCUUUAGGAACACCCACGCUCAGCCAUCAACCGUCCAUACCCAGUGCCACCUCCUCCAGGAAGCCUCUCACAAAUGUUCCCGCCCUCUGUAACGCGCUCUCCUUCCUCCAGAUCAGCCAGCUUGGCCUCCAGGCCUGUAGUGGGUCUGGCUUCCCAAGGCAGAGGCCAGCCACCGGUCGUCUACUUGUGCCCUGCAGCACCGAGCACAGAGGGUGCUCAGCUGCUCAGCCCGCAUUUGGUCGUGUGAGUGCCAUGAGCUCUGUACCCCAUCCUCUGACGGCUGCCCCUCAGAUCUGGGGGGCACAGAGAUCAUCUCAUCCACCUCAUGCGGGGUCAGCGGUUGGUUGUCCAGCUCUUGGCCCAGGGAGGAUACUCGGGCCAGGGCCGCGCAGCCCUGGCCCUUAGGAAGCAGGUCCUUGCGGCAGGCUGCAGCCUUCACGCCAGGGCUGGCUCAGCCCAGAAGCCCACGCGGAUGCCCCCGGCCCACGGCUGCCCUCCGGCUCCCACGGAGGGCAGUGCUCACUGAUCCCCCCAUGGGGUCUCCUUGGCUGCUUUGAGGGGACACAAGUGAGCCACCCAGAGAAUGGUCCCCAUGGGAAGUCAGGCACCGGUCCUGCCAGGCACCAUCUGCCCCUCCUACUUCCGUCCCCUAAUGGGCCUGGGCCUGGGCUCCUUCCCUAGCUCCGGCCUCACCUCAGGCAGGUCACUGGCCCCUGAAGUGCCGUCCAGCUCCGAGGAAGGCUCUAGGAGGCUGAUGGACCUCAUGACCCCUCGGAGGUUGAUACGGGGCCGUGGGCCAGGCUCUUCUUUCAGGGCUGACUGGCCCUCCUCCAAACCCAGAGCCUUCGCCUCCCCACUGCCCCCCGGUUCGGGCGGAAGAGGUGGGAAUGGCGGAGACACCUCGGGGGCGAGGGGCUCCUCUGGGGAAGCUCCACCCGCUUUCUGCUCCCAGACAUGGCUCUGCCGGCUGGAAAGAAGCGGCCUCGAGUCAGCGCUGAGGGACCCAGCAGCCACUCUCAGAGUCCAGGCCCACCCCCUGCGCUCCCGCAUCGCCCUGCCCUGCCCGCACCUGGCCGUCAGGAUGCCCUGACCCUGCCGCCAGCUCUGAGAAGAGGAGGCGGCCCGGAACCCUUACCACAUGGUCUGGAGGGAGAUCGGCUUGAAGAUUCGGCUUUGCCCACCGGACGUCACACUGAAGCCCCUGAGGGAGACCAGUCACCAGCUCUUACCCGUCUCCAUCAAGGUACACCUGGGUGUCACUCCAGAGGGGCAAGACCAGGCCCAGGGUGCAGCUCGGGGAGCUGGCAGGGGACAGAAGAAAAGCCGUCGUUCCCCAGUGUCUCAGCCCCUUGCCCCCCUCCCUUCCUCUCCCCGCGUGCACCUGCUGUCGGCGAAGUCCACUCCCAGAAGGACCGUCUCCUCCUGGCUCUGAUGUUCUCUCGUGGAAACUACCAGCAGGAAAGAGGCUUAGACAACAACAACAACCUUUUCCACGAGCCAUUACCACCAUUUGAUUCAAGAAAGGUUUCUCAUCAAAGAAAUUCUAAAGACACAAUCUCACAACA